UACGAAGGACCCGAGCGUUGUCCGGAUUUAUUGGGCUUAAAGGGUGCGUAGGCGGAUUUAUAAGUCAGUGGUGAAAGCCUGUAGCUUAACUAUAGAAUUGCCAUUGAUACUGUAAGUCUUGAGUAUAGUUGAGGUGGGCGGAAUGUGCAGUGUAGCGGUGAAAUGCUUAAAUAUUGCACAGAACACCGAUUGCGAAGGCAGCUCGCUAAACUAUAACUGACGCUGAGGCACGAAAGUGUGGGUAGCAAACAGG
rnacentral:rRNA from 1 species